GUUUCACAAGUCCCAAAGAAUAGCUGCUUUAUAGCUAGUGGCCCACAGUUGUUCAAACCUCACAGCUUCUCUUCUCCCCAGGCAUGACGGAGAUGGUACGUAAAACUACUCUGAGCAGAGCAGUAAGAAUCAUGCAGAAUCUCUUUCCUGAGGAGUACAACUUCUACCCUCGCUCAUGGAUUCUGCCUGACGAGUUCCAGCUCUUUGUUGCUCAGAAAUCUACUGAGUGACUUUUAUGUGUCCAGCACUGGUAGGUUGGGGAAUCAAAGCACCAGGUCUCUGCUGAGUAGAAGAGAGAAGUCCAGAGGAGACAGAUGGCAC
rnacentral:lncRNA from 1 species